rnacentral:rRNA from 1 species
GUCGCUACUACCGAUUGAAUGGCUUGGUGAGAUCUCCGGAUUGGCGUUGGGGAGCCGGCAACGGCACCCCUUGGCUGAGAAGCUGAUCAAACCUGGUCAUUUAGAGGAAGUAAAAGUCGUAACAAGGUUUCC